UUCAGUAUAAAAAACUGACUAAUAAAUAAUGAGGAAAAUGAUAUGGACUGAUUUAAAAGGAAUACUUAUGUUGGUUUUAAGAUGAUAGCUCUAUUGGGAUUUAUGGUAUGAAGAUUAGUUGGUAUCCGGCAAACUUAUCAACAAAAACUAACAUAAACUUAAACUGCAAUACUCAUAACUCUAGCGUUAAUCAUAACUCUACUCAUUCUAAUUUAAUAAAUAGCUAUUAACUGGAAAUAAUAUAAAUCUAUUUUUCUCUUCUUUCAAGAAUUUGAUUCUAUAAUAAUAUAGUGUCUAAUUUAUGCAUAAUUACAUAGAGUAAUAGCAUAAUUUAAUUAUAUGUCUAGGCCAUUUAAUAAAUCAAGCCAAUUAUUAGCAAAUAGCUAAUAAUCCUUUAUACAUAUUUAUAGGCUUAAAUUAAAAUAAACUCAUCUCAAUUAAUAAAUGAAUUAAGGACCCAAACCAAUAAUUAAGCCCCUAAUCUAAUUUAUUACUAAGGUCCAAUAGCAAUUAAUGGCCCAAGUAUUAUUUAAACCCAAUAUGAAAUUCUCAAAGCCCAAUUAAUCAAAAUAAAUAAAAACUAAAUAGAACUUAAGUCUAGAAUAUACUAAAGUCAACAUCUCUCUUCUUCCUUCUUUUUCUUUUUACGCAGACUCCAUUUCUCUCUGUUCUCUCACCUGCGUCUCUCACUUUCCCUCUCCCUCUCGCCCGGCGACGUCGCCAGUCCUCGCCGCCUCGGGCGCGGCGAGGCCGGCGUCUCUCUCCCCUUCUUCUUCCUUUCCUUCCCUUUUCCCCAAUUCUUAAUUCAAAAUCAACCUAGGGUUUCUAAUUUUCCCCCCUUCAACUCCAGUCAUCCGGCGAGUUUCACUGCCACCGUUGUCCCCGUCGCACUGCCACCUACUCCAUCUCAGUUUUUCUAUUUCAGGUGUCUCUCGGAGUGGCUACUGCUCAAGAUCCGAUUUUUAUAUGUGAUAAAUCUAUUUCUUUAUUGUUAUUAAGAAAUUGGAACUGUGUUUAUGAAGUCAGGAUUGCAUAUGUGAUUAUAGUUAUUACUCAUCACAGUUCUUGGUUGCUGCCUUUAUGAUAUAAAGUUAACUGUAUUGAAAAGAAA